AUUGAACGCUGGCGGCAGGCCUAACACAUGCAAGUCGAGCGGAUGAAGGGAGCUUGCUCCUGGAUUCAGCGGCGGACGGGUGAGUAAUGCCUAGGAAUCUGCCUGGUAGUGGGGGAUAACGUCCGGAAACGGGCGCUAAUACCGUAUACGUCCUGAGGGAGAAAGUGGGGGAUCUUCGGACCUCACGCUAUCAGAUGAGCCUAGGUCGGAUUAGCUAGUUGGUGGGGUAAAGGCCUACCAAGGCGACGAUCCGUAACUGGUCUGAGAGGAUGAUCAGUCACACUGGAACUGAGACACGGUCCAGACUCCUACGGGAGGCAGCAGUGGGGAAUAUUGGACGAUGGGCGAGAGCCUGAUCCAGCCAUGCCGCGUGUGUGAAGAAGGUCUUCGGAUUGUAAAGCACUUUAAGUUGGAGGGAAGGGCAGUAAGUUAAUACCUUGCUGUUUUGACGUUACCAACAGAAUAAGCACCGGCUAACUUCGUG
rnacentral:rRNA from 1 species